rnacentral:rRNA from 1 species
GACGAACGCUGGCGGCGUGCUUAACACAUGCAAGUCGAACGGAAAGGCCUUUUCGGAGGUACUCGAGUGGCGAACGGGUGAGUAACACGUGGGUGAUCUGCCCUGCACUCUGGGAUAAGCCUGGGAAACUGGGUCUAAUACCGGAUAGGACCGCACUUUAGUGUGUGUGGUGGAAAGUUUUUUCGGUGUAGGAUGAGCCCGCGGCCUAUCAGCUUGUUGGUGGGGUAAUGGCCUACCAAGGCGGCGACGGGUAGCCGGACUGAGAGGUUGGUCGGCCACAUUGGGACUGAGAUACGGCCCAGACUCCUACGGGAGGCAGCAGUGGGGAAUAUUGCACAAUGGGCGCAAGCCCGAUGCAGCGACGCCGCGUGGGGGAUGACGGCCUUCGGGUUGUAAACUCCUUUCGCCAGGGACGAAGCGUUUUGUGACGGUACCUGGAGAAGAAGCACCGGCUAACUACGUG